UGCGACUGUUUAUUAAAAACACAGCACUCUGCAAACACGAAAGUGGACGUAUAGGGUGUGACGCCUGCCCGGUGCCGGAAGGUUAAUUGAUGGGGUUAGGAUUCGUCCGAAGCUCUUGGAAGCUCUUGAUCGAAGCCCCGGUAAACGGCGGCCGUAACUAUAACGGUCCUAAGGUAGCGAAAUUCCUUGUCGGGUAAGUUCCGACCUGCACGAAUGGCGUAACGACGGGGGCGCUGUCUCUACCCGAGACUCAGUGAAAUUGAAAUCGCCGUGAAGAUGCGGUGUAUCCGCGGCUAGACGGAAAGACCCCGUGAACCUUUACUAUAGCUUCACAGUGAACUUUGAGCAUGCUUGUGUAGGAUAGCUGGGAGGCUUUGAAACUCGGACGCCAGUUCGAGUGGAGCCAACCUUGAAAUACCAGCCUGGCAUGUUUGAGGUUCUAACUUGGUCCCCUUACCGGGGAUGAGGACACUGUGUGGUGGGUAGUUUGACUGGGGCGGUCUCCUCCCAAAGCGUAACGGAGGAGCACAAAGGUGGGCUAAGCAUGGUCGGACAUCAUGCGGUUAGUGUAAUGGCACAAGCCCGCUUAACUGCGAGACAGACACGUCGAGCAGGUGCGAAAGCAGGUCAUAGUGAUCCGGUGGUUCUGUAUGGAAGGGCCAUCGCUCAACGGAUAAAAGGUACUCCGGGGAUAACAGGCUGAUACCGCCCAAGAGUUCACAUCGACGGCGGUGUUUGGCACCUCGAUGUCGGCUCAUCACAUCCUGGGGCUGAAGCCGGUCCCAAGGGUAUGGCUGUUCGCCAUUUAAAGUGGUACGCGAGCUGGGUUUAGAACGUCGUGAGACAGUUCGGUCCCUAUCUGCCGUGGACGUUGGAGAUUUGAGGAAAGCUGCUCCUAGUACGAGAGGACCGGAGUGGACGAACCUCUGGUGUUCGGGUUGUGUCGCCAGACGCAUUGCCCGGUAGCUAUGUUCGGAUAGGAUAACCGCUGAAGGCAUCUAAGCGGGAAGCCCCUUCCAAGAUAAGAUCUCCCCGGGCCCUCGAGGCCCCUGAAGAGCCGUUCAAGACCAGGACGUUGAUAGGCUGGAUGUGUAAGCGCUGCGAGGCGUUGAGCUAACCAGUACUAAUUGCUCGUGCGGCUUGACUAU
rnacentral:ncRNA from 1 species